rnacentral:rRNA from 1 species
GAUCCUGGCUCAGGAUGAACGCUGGCGGCGUGCUUAACACAUGCAAGUCGAACGGAAAGGCCAGUGCUUGCACUGGUGCUCGAGUGGCGAACGGGUGAGUAACACGUGGGUGAUCUGCCCUGCACUUUGGGAUAAGCCUGGGAAACUGGGUCUAAUACCAGAUAGGACCAUGCUUUGGAUGGUGUGGUGGAAAGUUUUUUCGGUGUGGGAUGAGCUUGCGGCCUAUCAGCUUGUUGG